CAUGCUAUUGGUUAUAUCGAUCACAAAUUUAGUUACGAAACCCCCAAAUAACAGGAAGUUAGUUAAAGGGUGCUGGAGUAACUCAG